GAUGAACGCUGGCGGCGUGCCUAAUACAUGCAAGUCGAGCGAACGGACGAGAAGCUUGCUUCUCUGAUGUUAGCGGCGGACGGGUGAGUAACACGUGGAUAACCUACCUAUAAGACUGGGAUAACUUCGGGAAACCGUAGCUAAUACCGGAUAAUAUUUUGAACCGCAUGGUUCAAAAGUGAAAGACGGUCUUGCUGUCACUUAUAGAUGGAUCCGCGCUGCAUUAGCUAGUUGGUAAGGUAACGGCUUACCAAGGCAACGAUGCAUAGCCGACCUGAGAGGGUGAUCGGCCACACUGGAACUGAGACACGGUCCAGACUCCUAAGGGAGGCAGCAGUAGGGAAUCUUCCGCAAUGGGCGAAAGCCUGACGGAGCAACGCCGCGUGAGUGAUGAAGGUCUUCGGAUCGUAAAACUCUGUUAUUAGGGAAGAACAUAUGUGUAAGUAACUGUGCACAUCUUGACGGUACCUAAUCAGAAAGCAACGGCUAACUACGUG
rnacentral:rRNA from 1 species